ensembl:lncRNA
AUGGCGCAUCCACAGAGCGUUAACACUGUGCGCAUGACAGCCUGUCUGUACCCACGCACGACUGCAGCCCUCGACCCACUUUUUCUCUUUUUGGAGGGGUGGGGGUGUGUUCAGAUUCGUUGUCCUUCAAAUGCUUCGUUUGCGCAAAUACGAAGUGUUUACUCCCGAAAAGUUCGCAAACUUGAAACAGCAGUCGUGCAGCUAACCGAGGGAACAUGUAGAGAUGGAUUUUAUAAAACUGGUUGGCACGGUAAUCGCAGUCUGGUUCCACCCUGGAUCCGCUUCUAAAUUCCACGGUAAGACUUCAGGAUAGAACUCGGCUCGCUUUUUUUUUCUGGCGACGGAACUUUCAAAGUUGCUUCUAUCCCAAAGUUUUUUUGCAGGAAACCUGGAAAUUGUCCGUUGUAAUGCCUUGGAUCACUGAAGCACAUAAUUGUUUGUUUGUUUGUUUGUUUAUUCUUGCUGCAACAGGAGAUCAUCUGUUGCAAAAAGUGAAAACUUGAAUAAAGACGCGCAAACUAGGGAUUUUUACUCAAAUUUAUGUCCAGGGAUAUUUAUAGUAGGGUUUAUUUUAGGCACCAUUUUUUGCUUAACAAUGCCUAUAUUCUGCCUGUAGUCCUUUAUGAUUUCAGAGUUGCAUAACACCCAUUUAUCUGAGCAUACAUACGCUCAGUACAUUUCUGAAUAUAAGGGGUGUAAUGAUUUACUUUGACGAUUGAAUCAUAUAUUUGUGAUUGUUGAUAUGAUUCAAAGUAAAUAUUGGUUAAUUUUGAUCAAUCCGACUCACUGACCUAGAAUGGAUCCAGGACAUCUUUAGCCAAAACUUCAACCAGUGUGUGACUCAGAGACAAAUACCUGGAUAUUUAACAGUGCAGGGGAAACUUUCCAGAUUUCUUGUAUUUCUUGCAAGAUAAUCAAGUGUAAAGUAAACAUGUGUACAAAAAAAAAGACGUUCAUCCUACUGUUGUUUUUCCAGAUCAAAAUAAUCCAAAGGGAACAUUAUUAGAACAUUCUACCACACUGUAUGGUCCAGGUCUUUGCAAAAUUCAAAUUGUUUCCACACAUUGGACUGGAAUGAUGGGCCGAUUCUUUUUUGCUUCCAUAUGUGUUGUCCGCUAUGAUGGCACAUUUAAGUUCUAGUAAAAUAAACUUACCGUGCUUCAAUCCAAAUGGUAUUUUUUGAGAUCAAUUACUAAUUAUUUCAUUUUGAAAAGAUUUUUUUCAAUAGUUUAAGGCGAGUUAGUUCAAUUAACAACUUGCAUCAGACAGAUCGACAUAGUUGGAUCGUAGGAAUAGAAAUAGAUUCAUUGAUUCAUAGUUACACCUCCUUAAAAUAGAUUCUUGCACUCUGAAAAUGAAACGUUUUCCCAAGUAAAACUUCAGUAAACUUUGGUAUCAAUAUAUAUUUUGACUGGCAUAAAUGUAGAGAUAAAAGCCCAAGUUUACAGCGAAACAGCAAAUAGGUUUCCGUGGUUUAACCCAGGGGACAGAACCUUUAAUUUGGGCCUGUUUCUCACUGAUCAAAACCUAAUAAGAGCUGCAAAGUCUUUUUUCACCCAUUUGAAAAUGUUGCAUUUGUAUCGCUGUUACUUUUAAAACAUAGAUAAAUUAUAUAUCUUUUUUUUGGCAUGAAUACAAACAGAACUAUAGAGAGACAAAGCAUUUAUCCUAUAUGGGAAUGUUUUUUUUUUUUACCUUUGACAGAGGCUCCUAUGACUUCCUUUUAAAAUACAAGACAGGAUCAUCCAUCUGAAGCUAAUGUACUCCCGUGAAAGGAUAUGAACAGGACAAGUCAAAAUGGCAUUUUCUCUUCUUAUUUCUUAGGUCUACUUUGGUGGGCUUUCUUUCCCUUUCCAUAUUUACUAAUGAUUUUAACCUGAUAUGAACAUGGCUUUAUUGGUUUAUGAUUCAAAAGAAAAAGUAUAUUAAGAGUAUAAAAAUGGAUUUUCUUAGCAACUCUCAUAACAAACAUUGUUGUGCAGGAUAAAACAAUAUGUGCUGUUAACGUGCAAAAAUGAAAAGAGCCAUCAGAGAAGAGCGAACUUUUUACUAGCUUUGAUAGUAUUUGAAAUCUGCACAUUCUGGAGUAAUGGUAGAGCCUUGUGAUCUAUUGUAAUGUCAGCAGGAGAGUAAAAAGCCUUACAUUUUAUCUUACUAAACUAGGAGCACCUCAGGCAUAAAUCUAGCUAAUUUAAACUUAAUCAGGGCUAAAAUAUGCACAUUUCAAAGGUUAAGGCUACUAUCAUUUUAUUUUCCUUCAGCCACAGAGCCACAGUGGAGGGGUUAAAGAACCACUGGUGGCUCUGAAGCCUCAUAUUGCAAACCCCUUGUUUAACCCUUUACACCAGGGGUGUCAAACUCAUUUUCACCGAGGGCCACAUCAGCAUAUUGGCUGUCCUCAAAGGGCCAGAUGUAACUUAUUCAUGUAACUAAAUGUAAU